GCUGCAGAGCGGGUCCUCCAGGGGCAGGCGGCACUGUCGCCUCCUGUUUGGCGUUGCCAUGGAAACGCAGCACGACCGUCUGUUGUGUGUGGUGUUUUAACGGCAGGUCGUCAAUCGUACCUAUAAGAAACCGAAAGGUAUCGUCACCUGAAGAUGCAGCUCAACCGGCGGAGCGGAGGUCGGGAGGCCACGGGUAACACUCGGCACAAAACGGUAGCGUCUCACUGAGUUCGGGUUUAUCCCGCUUUAUGGCGGAAUACACGAACGAUCGGCGUAAAGAAACGUCCGGACUAAAGUCAUGCCACACCGGAGUAUGGUUUCUCUUCGGUUGGAGGAAAUUCAGAUUCAUUACCGGUUCUCCCCUGGAACACGGACCGGAUGCUCCGUGUGCUGCUGGAGGCCGAGGAGCAGCAGCACCUGCAGGAGCUGGAGGACAAGAAGGAGGCAAUGGUGGAGAGACAAGCCAAGAUGAGAGAGAAGGCCAAAGCUCUGAGAGGGAGGAGAGAGAGCGAACAGCAGCAGCUGAUCUCAGACAAGCUGGAGCUUGUCAGGGAGCAGUGUGAGGAGCUGUGGACCGUGGAGAGCAGGUGCCACAAGCAGCAGGUGAGCGUGGAGCGAGCGGCUCAGGGGAGAAGCCAGCAGGAGCAGCGGCGACUGCAGCGGCAGGAAGACCUGCUGUUUGAUGAGCUGUGGGAGGCUGACCGCCAAGCCAAAGAGGAGUGGGAGGUGCGAUGAGCACAGAGGCAGCAGCAGAGGAACCUGGAGCAGCUGAAGGUCCUGUAGGCCCAGAUGGAGGCGACCGAGCUGCAGAGAGUCAAGGAGAAGGAGCUGAGGGAGGAGGAGGCUCGCCUCACGCUGCAGCAGCAGGAGGUGCAGUGCAUGCAGAAGCAGCGAGAGCACAAACUGCAGGCUCAGUAGGCCACCCGGUGGCAGCUGGAAAGGUGUUUCCAGCUGAAGAUGCAGCGUCUGGCCCGAGAGCAGCAGGAAGAGCUGCAGCUGGAUAUGAGCAUCCUUCAGCAGCUGCUCCAUCAGGAAACUGAACAGAGGCAGGAGGCUGCUCAGAGGAAGACGCCGCUGUGCCACAUGGUCGAUGCUGACAGGCUGAACCCCGCUGCCUGUGUCGUCUCAGGCAGAGCUGCAUGAAGAGCAGCAGAGGUACCGGCAGUAUCUGUCUGAGGAGCUGCAGAAGCAGAGGAGAGAGGAGGAGGAGACGGAGCAGCUGAUCGAGGAGAAACUGAAGAAGACCUGGACCAAGAGAGAGCAGCAGAGCUGCCUGCAGCGAGAGGCCAGAAACCACCUGAUGAAGGAGGUGAUGGAAGCUCGACACCUGCAGAUCCAGCACAAACUGAAGCUGAACAUGCAGAAAUGAGCGGAGCUGGCCAGAGAGAGGGAGGAGCUGAACAGACUGGUGGAGGAGAGCAGAGUGAAGGACGAGGAGGAGAAGAGACGGCAGAGAACAACCUGCGAGGCCUACCAGGCGGACCUCAGGGCCCAGAUCAGGCACCGGCAGCAGCUCUGGAGAGAGGGCAGAGCUCAGGCUCAGAGGGAGAGUCAGCAGGGUCUGAUCCUGCAGCUGCUCUACGACCAGAAGAAAGACGAGAUCCUGUCCAGACCCUCGUCUCACACUAUUGCUCCCCCCAUCCGUUCAGGAGAGCACAGGGAUCCAGGUCUGCCCCCCAGCACAGACUCACAUAGUCCACCUGCACAGGGAAGAGUCCUCCUCGGACAACCACAUGAAUGUAAAGAGAAAUAAAAGUCUGUUUACACUGUGGUCUCUGUCUUCGUCUGCUCACUGACUGAUGUGAACACGUCUCAUUCCACUGGGUACGUUCGGUUUCAGGCUGAGGGCCCCACUAAGGCCUCUGUAGACAGUGUCUCCUCACUGUCCAGCUGUUUGAAUCCAGGAGCUGAGUCUCCUCUCAGUGACUUUAAUAAGCAGCAGUCAGUGCUUUGCCCCAGGUUUUGUCUUUCAGGCUACACACAGACUUCUCUGCUGUAGUCCUAUGCAGCCUGACCAAUCGACCUGCAGACAUAACUCAGGGCUGAAAAUUAUUAGCACCUGUCCCCUUCAACAGCAUUUAGGUCGUGUUUCAGUGAACUCGGUGAGUAAACCAGGAUCAGAGCAUCCUAGUUUCCUCAGCACCAGACAGAAGGAGGUGUCUGUCUGUCCCCAGCUGCUCUGCCACCAACAGACUGAUUAUUGAUCGGAGUGAAAAGGUGGAAACAUAAGGCCUGAGGACGUCUGACAGGUUGUUAUUUACCAAUCAGCCACAUCAUUUAUUUAUUUAUAUAAAAUCCUCACUGUCACCCGACCCCUGGCACUUGACCUCACACUGCACUCAGAGCUGAAAGCCAGGCGCCCCGUGUCCUCGGCCUGUUGGCUAAACCAGUGUUUACUGAAGGAAGGGAGGUAGCCAUGUUGCUUAAAGUCUGAGUGUUUGAUUAUGAAGGAAUCACCCAGAAAAACCAUAGUAAUCCCUGGAUCCCAGCAGGAGCGUGGCUGGCCUGAUGUCGUUUCAGUGUCACUCAGUGCAUGCUGUUUGUUUUCACAGCUUCGUCCCGACCGAGCAGCAAGGCCUCGUCACUGCACUGACACACUGUACCUUGUGCUGUGUAUCAGCUGUAGGCGCAAAUACUUCUCAGAGGAGACGUUUACUCACAGAACAUGUGAGGAAGCUGCUUCUCCUCUUAGUGUCUCUACAUGAUUAUAGGCCUGAGAAGUGUUAUUAAGCUCCAGACUCAGUCAUGUUGUAAGGGAAACUGUUGCACAGCUAUAUCUACACACCAGCCAGCUGCUAGCACACCAUCCUUACUUCAUACCAGGAUACGCCAACACCUCAGGCCAGUCGAACCUGACCGGCGAGCACCUGCAGCCCGUGGCCCAGAGGGAAAUCCACCUGCACACCUUAAAUCAAAGUGCUGUCAAACACCUGCAUUGUGCCUGUGCACAUUUUUCUGUCAGUUCAUUUACAUGCAGCAUGUUGUUCAGAGAGAAGGGAGGUUUCUAUAGCAGAGCAUCACCUGAGUUCUCCCAUCUUGUCCUGAUGGGAACAGCAGGUCCAAGCAACAUGUCACCACAAUCCAUCCAACAUCUGGCUUGUUCCAGUCUGAUGUCACUGAUGACUGCAGAAAUGCUUCCACGUGCACAGAUCAGUGUGCACAGUGUGGGGCUGAAAGCUCUCUGCUGCUCCCAUGCACUUAUUUUUUGCUUGCUGCCUCCACAGCAGUGGUAGAUCAGUCCUGCCUGUGCUGGGUGGACUGGCAGCAGGUAAACAGCUCAUUCCAGCAGAAGGAGUGGUCUGGGAGUGGACUCGGCCACUGAUGUCAGAAUCACAGUUACGCUCAGACAGGUCUGAGACAGGUGGCUUCCCACAGUCAGUCCCAGGUGAGUGGCUGCAGCACAGUGUGUUCUGGAGCUGAGCAGGGCCUUUCCCUGCAUGUGUGGACCCACUGAGCAGCCCGAGAGGAUGACCGGCCACUACAACCCUUACUCCAAGGAAAUGGUUUUUAUCAUGGAUAAUAACCUGACUGUGAGACGCUUUCUGGGUUAAUGUUCAGAAACUCUUGGCCUGUUCCAUGUUACACAAUGUCUCAGAUAAGACUCGUCUCCUCGGACGAUGUGUUAGUGUGUCAGAUGUUGGAGGCGUCAGAUUCAGACACUGCACCAUGUAAAAGGGCUCAACAUGCCUCAUUACAAGUAAAAUGUGUUCGUAAUGUUGUUAGAUAGAUACUUUAUUAC